UCUGAGUAACCAUAUGUUUUGAAUGGCAUACUAGAUGCCAACAACCAAACUAUAUUUUCUUAAUUGACACUGCAAUUUGAAAAUUGUUCUUAUGCAUGAGAAAAUUGGUCACAUCCUUGAGUAGCCCUUUCCAGAGACACUUGCUGAUGACUCGAUUGAAGAAGAGGUGGCUACUAUAGUAAACGCAGUGAUGAUAAUAGUACUACAACGUAUGUGAUACUUGCAACUAUGUCACUGAGUUACAAAAGCGACUUGAGAGUAUAGAUGUUAACACAUAAUUCUUCACUACAAAGAGUUGUAUGAUAAUAAUCAUGUGUGGAAGGAUAUGAGACUUCCAAACAACUAUACAGGUGCAAAAUGACAGAGUAAUCUUCAAUCGAUGCUUAGACACUGAAGAUGAUUGACGUUGAGAA
rnacentral:lncRNA from 1 species